UCCUCUGUAGUUCAGUCGGUAGAACGGCGGACUGUUAGUCCGUAUGUCACUGGUUCGAGUCCAGUCAGAGGAGCCA
rnacentral:tRNA from 1 species